UCAUAACACAUUUAGAGAAUUUUGUGUUUACGUUUUGAGGGUUCUUUGUUUUCGGGUUUUUGGGGUUUAGUUUUUAUCUCCAUCUUUUGUACUUUUCGUUCUUUUGCCAUUAUAGUAAAAUUAUCUUUGCUUGUGGUUUUUUUAUCCUCUUUGGAGGAGUUUUUCCACGUUAAAUUUAUGUGUUCACUUUCUCAAUUUAUUCUGUUAUU
rnacentral:lncRNA from 1 species